rnacentral:rRNA from 1 species
CCUACGGGGUGCAGCAGUGAGGAAUAUUGGUCAAUGGCCGGAAGGCUGAACCAGCCACGCCGCGUGAAGGUCAGUGCCCUAUGGGCGUUAAACUUCUUUUGUGCGGGAGCAAUAAUGGUCACGUGUGGCCAGACGAGAGUACCGUACGAAUAAGCAUCGGCUAACUCCGUGCCAGCAGCCGCGGUAUUACGGGGGAUGCAAGCGUUUCCGGAAUUAUUGGGUUUAAAGGGUGCGUAGGCUGUGAGGUAAGUCAGCGGUGAAAUGCCCCCGCUCAACGGGGUGAAGUGCCAUUGAUAAUGCCUGGCUGGAAUGCGGAUGCCGUGGGAGGAAUGUGUGGUGUAGCGGUGAAAUGCAUAGAUAUCACACAGAACACCGAUUGCGAAGGCAUCUCACGAAUCCGCGAUUGACGCUGAUGCACGAAAGCGUGGGUAUCAAACAGGAUUAGAUACCCUUGUAGUC